rnacentral:misc_RNA from 1 species
GAAGUGCGAUAAGCAAUGCGAAUUGCAGAACCGUGAGUCAUCAGAUUUUUGAACGCAACUGGCGCCGGCUGGUCCUCCAGUCGGCAUGCUUGUUUCAGUGUCUUUUUUUCUCCUCACCCAAACCUUAAUGCGAGAGAUACCCUUCUCUUGCCAAACAGGAAAGCACUCUGCGCUCUGCAGGCAGCUUUUAGACUCGUUCUUUAAGCUGCGCUCAAUGCUGUCGUCACAUUUUUACAAGUGUGAACUCAUUGUGAGUAGAGGCAUGUAGCUUCGGCUACCAGUGCUUAGUCACUUAAACUUUCUUUGCAUCUGAAAUCAAGCAGGAGUACCCGCUGAACUUAA